rnacentral:SRP_RNA from 1 species
GGCGAUCCUCCACGUGGCGGCAUCGUCUGAACCUCCCCAGGGCCGGAAGGCAGCAAGGAUAAGGGCGCUCUGCCGGGUACGUGGAGGGUCCUUUUA